CCUACGGGAGGCUGCAGUGAGGAAUAUUGGUCAAUGGACGAGAGCCUGAACCAGCCAAGUAGCGUGAAGGAUGACUGUUCUAUGGGUUGUAAACUUCUUUUAUAUGGGAAUAAAACGUUCCACGUGUGGGAUUUUGUAUGUACCUUAUGAAUAAGGAUCGGCUAACUCCGUGCCAGCAGCCGCGGUAAUACGGAGGAUCCGAGCGUUAUCCGGAUUUAUUGGGUUUAAAGGGGGCGUAGGCGGAUUGUUAAGUCAGUUGUGAAAGUUUGCGGCUCAACCAUAAAAUUGCAGUUGAAACUGGCAGUCUUGAGUACAGUAGAGGUAGGCGGAAUUCGUGGUGUAGCGGUGAAAUGCUUAGAUAUCACGAAGAACUCCGAUUGCGAAGGCAGUUCACUGGACUACAACUGACACUGAGGCUCGAAAGUGUGGGUAUCAAACAGGAUUAGAUACCCCUGUAGUC
rnacentral:rRNA from 1 species